rnacentral:rRNA from 1 species
GUGAGGAAUAUUGGUCAAUGGACGGAAGUCUGAAUCAGCCAUGCCGCGUGCAGGAAUAAGGUCCUAUGGAUUGUAAACUGCUUUUAUUCGGGAAUAAACCUCUUUACGUGUAGGGAGCUGAAGGUACCGAAGGAAUAAGCACCGGCUAACUCCGUGCCAGCAGCCGCGGUAAUACGGAGGGUGCAAGCGUUAUCCGGAAUCAUUGGGUUUAAAGGGUCCGCAGGCGGGCUAUCAAGUCAGAGGUGAAAUCCCACAGCUUAACUGUGGAACUGCCUUUGAAACUGAUGGUCUUGAAUUAAGUGGGCGUUGGCGGAAUAUGACAUGUAGCGGUGAAAUGCAUAGAUAUGUCAUGGAACACCGAAAGCGAAGGCAGCUAACGAUACUUAUAUUGACGCUCAUGGACGAAAGCGUGGGUAGCGAACAGGAUUAGAAACCCGUGUAGUCC